ensembl:lncRNA novel transcript
AGUCCUUAACAACUCGAUCUACCCAGGCAAACACAACAAUCAUUCAGCUUUUUGUUUCAUUUUUUCCUUAACCUAUCACCAUGAAACAAAAUUUCUUCAAUCUCUCAUCCCUCUUCCAUGAUGAUUUGCCAUCUUUUUCUCUGGGGAGAAGACACACAUAUAGAAAUGAGCAAAGAGCUUUAAAUACUAGCUGCCCAAGAGAUGCUUAGCCUCCUGUUCCAGCCACUGGAGUUGAGGGGUGGAGGCACGUGAUGUCACGGAAAGGGAAUGCUCGCUAGUCUUCAAGCAGUCCCCUAAGGGAUCUUUGAUCUCAGGCUGAAUGGAGGAAGAAGAGCUUUUCUAGUUGACGCCUGUCACAGAGAUCUGAUGAAGUCAAUGUAAAUGAGUCCGCAGAAGCUUGAUAGCCUAUAGAAGUCCUUGAAAAUCCCGAAUGGCACGAGAAGGUUGAAAACUAGUCAAGAUGCUGAUAUCUUCAAGAAGUUAAAUAUAACCUAAAAAAAUUAUUUGUCACAGAAUAAGGUUGGUUUAAAAAAUUGUAAAGGGGAGGAGAGUGGAGAUUCAAGCCUAGAGAGGA